GAUGAACGCUAGCGGCAUGCCUAACACAUGCAAGUCGAGGGAGGAGCUUUCGGGGUUCGCCCGUCUUACUGUUGCGUAACGCCUAUACAAUCUGCCUUUCACAUAGUGAUAUCCCGAAGAGAUUUGCAUUAAUACCUAAUUGUUUAUAGAGCUUGCAUCACCUUUAUAUUAUAGCUGAUACGUUGAAAGAUGAGUAUGCGUUGUAUUAGCUAGUUGGAGAGGUGACUGCUGCCCAAGGCUACGAUAGAUACGGGUUGUGAGAGGGAUAUCCCCCACACUGGGACUGGGAUACGACUCAGACUGCUACGGGCGGCAGGAAUGAGGAAUAAUGGACAAAGGUCGGGAGACUGAUACAGCCAUGCCGCGUGCAGGAAGACCGCGUUAUGGGUUGUAAACUGCUGUUGCAGAGGAAGAAUAAGGAAUAAGCGUAGUUUGAUGACGGUACUCGGAGAAUAAGCCACGGCUAACUACGUG
rnacentral:rRNA from 1 species